rnacentral:tmRNA from 1 species
GGGGCUGACUGGCUUUGACAGCGAGAUGAACUGGUAUGUAAGCAUGCAGAGCGUUGUAAGGGGGCUCUAUAAUCUGAACUUUCAAACUAUAACUGGCAAUAACAAUUAUGCUCUUGCUGCUUGAUCGAAUAAUAGUAGAUUAGCUUUAUCUUGGCACAAGGUGCUAAGACAAGACAUCUCCCAAACGCCGUUGUUUCGAGGCUGUUUGACACGGAGGUGCGGAUAAAUCGAAACUGGUUUGCCUUGGCUUCGCAGGGCAAAUAAGAUUUUAGAAGAUAAGCCGAUUGGUUGGUGGCCUUGGUCUUGCCGUCGGACGAAAAUCAAAGGCAAGGAUAAGCAUGUAGAAAGCGUAUUAUUUCCUCGUUUGGACGAGGGUUCAAUCCCCUCCAGCUCCACAA